GUCAGAUUGACUGCCGUGGCUGGUUGCCCUGAAGUCUUCGGACAAGCACACAGGCCAAAAUUCCCAGAAUUCAUUUCCCAACAAUUAUUAUGUUAUUACAUAACAAGAAAGAAACACAAUCCAAUGACCAAGAUAUCAUGAGAUUAUGGUUACCGGAAAGUGAAAUACUUCAGUGACUUUGGAAACAACAUCAACAAAAAGAAUGUUUCCAUGUCUUGUGGGUCCAGGAAAACUCAAUACGCCGAAAGGCUAAAAUCAGCACAAGAAGAAUUCAGAAAUAUGAUUGUGGAUUAAAUAUAAGCCUUUCCCAGAUAGUCUGCAAUAGAAACAUUGCUUUCUCUAAAAUAAUAAUACUCUGAAC
rnacentral:lncRNA from 9 species